CGCCCUUCAGAGGGGGACAACAGUUGGAAACGACUGCUAAUACCGCAUACGAUCUAAUCUCGGCAUCGAGGAUGGAUGAAAGGUGGCCUCUAUUUAUAAGCUAUCACUGAAGGAGGGGAUUGCGUCUGAUUAGCUAGUUGGAGGGGUAACGGCCCACCAGGGCGAUGAUCAGUAGCCGGUCUGAGAGGAUGAACGGCCACAUUGGGACUGAGACACGGCCCAG
rnacentral:rRNA from 1 species